AUGCAGAAGAAUGAUGAAAAGAAGGGUCUGUUCAGGGAUGAGCCUGGGAACAGUCUGCAGAGGAAGUGAUACUGGACCAGGAGGUAGAGCCGCAACUAGGGACUUCCAUCUCACCUGGGCUGAGGCAGCCACCCAGAGCUCUUGGGGAGAGACCCCUGAACCAGAAUGGAAAAAGGAAGAGGCUCACAGAGAACCUGUUGUACGGUUUUGUGUGCCUAUUGGACGAACAGUUUGGUACUCAGUGUGAUUGAGGAGUGGGACAAGAGCAGGAGGAGAGAUGUUGUGACUCUCUGUACCUCAAAGUAGCACCCUGGAACCCCCAUAUUCACCACUGUGAAAUUAUAUGUUAUGGACAAAGUAUGCCUUAUGAGGUAUCAUUUUGUAAGUCUUGAUCUGUUGAACAAUAGCCUGUUGGAAUGUAUAUACUAUCAUUGUAUGUGAUGUUAUGAAGUAUUACUAUAUGUGUUACUGAACUAUGUUGUGAGGUUGGGAACACCCACAACCAGCCUUUCAAUUACAACGAAGCAGUAGCCAUCAAUAGCCAGAUGGUGUUAAUGGCUCAUCAACAGACAAUCGCGAGAUGAUCCCAGGGGGUGCAUGGCAGUAUAGUGCCGCCGGACAGCACUCCGCCAUUUUUUUCUUCGGCAGCAGCUCUGCACGUCCACGGCUGGUGUUCCCCUCCGGCGGCCCGCCUGCGGCUGGUCUUCCGGUCUUCUUCCGGUGGCGGCGUGCCUGUGGCAGGUCACCCUGGGGGUGCACGGGCCAAAAAGUUUGGAGACCGCUGUCCUAGAGACUUCUCAGAGAAGCCACAUAUGCCAUGGGGGCAGACUAACCCACACCACAGCAAAGAGCGUUUCAGCAAGAUGGAAGAAAGUAUAAAAAAGACAGUGACAUCAUCACUUGGCUUCCCCCCAUCCCCAAUCUCCACACUUGGAAGAACGUCUGGAGGACAAAGAUUUUGAACUGGGGAAGAGUGGUUCCAGGCUGGAAGGUAGUCUGGGCCUGUGUAUGAAGGAACUGUAACCUGCUUGUAUCAUCUG